GAAUAAAUAAGUCGAUACAGAGACGCCCAUUGGAUCCGAGGCGUUAUUCGUCGUCCUGGUUAUUCCCUGCUUACUGUCUGUUUGUCCUCAUCAGUCUGUCCCAAUGAGGAAAAGCAAAUAAACAAAGAUGAUGUUACGUCAUGUGAGGGGGUGAGAGAGAGAGAGAGAGAGAGAGAGAGAGAGAGAGAGAGAGAGAGAGAGAGAUGGGCACUGGAUGAGAGAAAUAAAUAAAUAAAAAGGUGUUGGCUGAAAAAGGUAUAACAGAGAAAGAGAAAGAAGGCAGGAAAGUAAGGAUCUUGUUUUAUUUCAGUUAUUUAUUUAUUUAUUUUUCUCCCCUGAUCCCUCGUUGACCUUCUGUUUGGAGAGAGGAAGGCAGCAGCACAGCAGAGCAAAGCAGAGCACAGCACAGCAUAGCAGAGCACUACUCACUGGCAAACACAGGAGAGAGGCGCUGCUGCUGCUGCUGCUGCUGAAGCUGCUGCUGCUGAAGCUGCUGAAGCUGCUGCUGCUGAAGCUGCUGCUUCUGAAGCUGCUGCUGCUGAAGCUGCUGAAGCUGCUGCUGCUGAAGCUGCUGCUGCUGAAGCUGCUGCUGCUGCAUCCGGGAUUCACCUCAUCUACACUGGACUGGAUCCUGGAUUGAUCACGGUUUUCCAAAAAAAACAAAAACAAACAAAAAAAAACUGUAGAUUUAAGGCUGGAUGGAGGCGGCACCGGCUCCGCGCCCAUUCAGUGGAGAUCCAGCUGCGACUCCUAAAAGAAGUUCCUUUAUUCCCCUCCCCCCACCACUCCCCCCAAGAGCAGAUCAGCCUCUGGCCCCUGUGUCCAUCCCUCAUCUGGCCCCCAGUGUGGCUUGUUGAGCCGCAUCAGCAACACAUCACUGCCCCUGAAUUCAGAAGUUACGCCUCCCGAAGCGCAAGGACUCCCAUUAAAAGUCUCCAAUCAACCAACAUGAGUGAUCCACAGCUGAAGUGUCCCUUCUACUCUCUUUUGACAUUACUCCACUCGAUUGCCCGUUUACCCCCGAGUCAAGUUCGAGGCGGGCAUGAAGUGUAAAAGAGGUGGGCCAUGUCAUAUCCGCUCAGUGUGCAUGGGAUUGUUGGCAUGCGCGGCGGUGAUCAUUGUUCAGGGAGAACAAUUCUUGCUCAGAGCAGGCAGGGGAAAGUGAGGAGGAUGGUAGGAAAGUGGGUUUGUUCACAGGUUUGUCCUCGCCAGCAGUGGCAGUGUGAGUAUAUCAAAAGCACGUUUUAUGUUUUAUUUGUUCGUUUGUGUUUAAGUCACAUCUGAUCACUGACAAAAUUCCACCAUUAAAUUUGCAAAAUUUGAGUAACAUUUCGCUCUCCUUCCUGGACACAAGGGUAAUUUCAGUAUAAGCCAUAUUAAUAUAAUGAAACACUUACACAUGAACUAUUCCACGCUGAUAAGACAAAAUAUUAGAAUUGAAUAAGUACAAUUGAUGGAGCACUUUGCAUAUAUUCUCUUUGGGGGAUUUCUGAGCGGAAAUGAUUUAAGCUCAUCAGUCAGCAUGUAGAUUAGUUACUGGGCUAGUUAACCAGUUAGCGCGUUUCUUAUUCCUAUUGGUCCUCCAUGGUGGAAAAGAAGAACAAAAAAACUUUUUUUGAGUGCGCAUUUAAAGAAUGAAAUGUUACUGAUACAGUUCAGUAAAUAUUUUCUAAAACGUUAUGCCAGUUGUUUCUUCGUGGUUUAUGCAUACAUAAACUGCUUCAAGAUGGAAACUGAAAUUUUAGUUGCAGCAAUUUAAGUUUUGGAACUCGAUGUUGACUGAAAACGAAUCAUCUGGAAUCUUUCAGCAGAAACGAACCGAAUCUGUAAAAACAUCGAGAUCAGAAUCGGAGCGCUUUGAUUCGAUAACAAUACAAUCGUUUACGUACAUGACAAGAACCUGAUGUUUGCGGUUUUAGGGAAUUGUAUUUUCCAGUCUAAUGACGUACGUCGACUCUGACGUGUACUAUUGCAGAAAAGUAGUGGACCGCGCAUGUUUAUUGCGCACAAAUAAAAUAACUCGCUGACCAAGAGUUAACGUCACCGUUUCAGCGAUUAAUCAAGCAUUCGCCUGGUUGCUAUAGGCAACAGAUUAAGAAUGCAUCCUUGACAUCGUGGGGUCACAGGUGCGUGUUUUGGACUCAGCAGCCAAUCAGAGGUGUUGUGCGUCCCGUAACUGGGAACCGUAGACGACUGAUUAUGGCCGGUAUAUUGGAUCAAUAACUGAUAUCUGGGAGAACCGAGAAGGAUGGAGUGCAGAGACAAGAGGGAAGGAUGAGCCAUUGGACUCUUUAUUAUUAUUAUUAUUAUUAUUAUUAUUUAUUAUUAUUAUUAUUAUUAUUAUUAUUAUUAGCUAGACUUGAUUUGGGUCCUUGCUGACUGGUCAAUCGGGUAUCAAGAUGGUUUUUUUUGUCAAGCUCACCACAUGUAUGCACCCCCCCCCCCCCCCCCCCCCCCGCAAUUUCCGUGUUAAACACGCAAACACCAUAAAUGAGAAACAAGUGAUUCUCAGGCCACAUAAAGUCCUCAAACAAUCUGACCCACAUCCCUCCUCAGCUUGGUCAUCGCCUGGUCAUUCAUUAUUCAGCGGCUCGGAUUAUUAGCCGUAAGAUGGCAGAUGUCAGAGCGCGAUGGAGAUGUUGACGCUCGGCCGACUGGAGGGGCCAUUAUCCCGGCCAGCUUAUCAAACAUUCAUGCGGCAGCUGUGGCUUGUGGCCCGGCCCUCCGUCCUCUGCUCUCACGGGACAACUUCCCGUCACUCCUGAAGCCGCGGUGACCUUUCACCUCGGUGUUAUCGCAAAGCGUUAAAACAAAGAGACGGAGCCCCGCUUGUUUCUGUCGAUUAACAGCAGUCGUCGGUAUAAAUACGUGAAAUACAAUAAAAUUCAUGGCAACUGAAAAAUAUAAAAUUUUGAGUAAGUGACGAGAUCGAAGGUCUGUGACGUCAUAGUGAAAUUCAGCACCUACAGUAAAAUAAAAUAAAAAAAAUAAAACGUCUAUGAGUUUAAUAAGUAGGCCUACAUAAAAUUCAAGCAGUGUUUUUUGUUUGUUUUUUGUUUUUGUGCCGCACAAAAAUUCAAAUUUUACACAUUUUAUUAUCAUGACAUCAUCCCGAAUGUGUCACUGCUCUCGGCAUAAUUAACUCAAUUAACUGGUGGCGUCACGAGGGUGGCAGCAAAAGGUUUGACAAAGUUCAACUUUCUAAAGGUUCGACGUCACAAUCACAAUUAUUUCCCUUAAUGUGAUUUAAAAAUAAAUAAAUAAUAAUAAUAAUAAUAAUUGUUAUUAUUAUUAUUAUUAUUAUUAUUAUUAUUAUUAUUAUUAUUAUUAUUAUCGAAAAGUCUGAAUGUUGAUUGAAAAGUUGAAACAGAAAAAGACGUUUAAAGUUGGCUAAAGUUGGUUUGGGCGGAUCAGCUUGGCUCAGCCAGCUUUAGACACAGAACUUAAAACCCAGAGCUCGUUUUGAUUGUCACUAUAUAACACAAACAUCAAAGUUAUGCUUUCACCGAACGGGUGUGUUUAUUUUGAUAUGACUAUAUCGAUGUAUUAUUUAAAUUACACAUCUGAGUGUUUUUUUUAAAUUUAUGUUGUAUGUAUAAUAAGCCUAAUUAAAAAAGGGAUAAUUGAUACACAUAAUUACUUAUUUCUUUUUGACGUCUUUCUCUCUCUCUUUCUCUUUCUCUCUCUCUUUUUCUCUCUCUCUCUCUCUCCUUCUCUCGCUUGAAACAGAAAAUAAACUUUUUUCCCCAACUUUUCUCAAAUUAACAGUGAUGUUUUUCCUCUUCUGUUUUCGCUUGUCUUCCUUAUUCCGCCACCGACAGCAAAAAAAAAAAAAAUAAAAAAAUAAAACGUCACUUUUCCAGUUUUGUCCCGGUAAACUCGGCUGUUUUUGUCCAGGCUUUAGGAACCAGCGGCUCGGCUUCGGCGUUUCCAUUUGACCGCGGCCGCACAGACCGUCCGCGUCUCUUUGUGAAGGACCCUGUUGAACUGACCCCUCCGCGCCGCGCGCCCUUCUCUGCUCCCGCGCGGCCUCCUUCGAAUCCGCGCGUGCGCGCGCGAGCGCGCGCUGCGGAAUGCGGCCCAGAAUCUCGUGCAGAAGUAAUGGGAAGUAGUCGGAAGGUGAGGUCGGGGGUUCACGGCGGGGCUAAAGACAGUCAUCCGUAGCUUUUUUUUUUUGUUAUUUCAGUUUUUUUCUCUCUCCCAAACUCAACAUCCUUCCUAGAGAAGGAUGUGUCCAGAGUGCCACCGUCCUCACCCCGUCACUGUGCGCACUCUGUUUGUUUUUAUGCGUUUAUUAAAUCUUCCCCCGGCAGGAAAAACCCACCGACAUCACCACGUCACACCCACACACCCACCCCGCUCUGCUCCAUGAGAAACCUGUCUCUGUUUGGACUUGAAAAGUCUGCAGACUGUUUAUGUCCUCAAAAAGGUUUCUGAAAAAAAAAAGAAAGAAAAAGAACAAAAUCCCAAAAAGUAAAGAAAAAAAUAUUAAUAUGAGUACAUUAAAACAAUUAAUGUAAACCUUGAUAUUUCUAAUUUUUUUUUUUGCCUCUGCUCUUUUAUUCAAAUGAAAAAUUAUCCAAUUCUAUGCACACAACUGAUAUUAAAACCUCUCACCCACUCCCAAGUUUCUAAGCAUUAAGAAUUAGGUUUCUUGAUUAAUCCACAGAACAAAUCAUAUUUUAGCUGUGACAUUAAUGUAAGUGUCUGAAAGGAAACAGACUUAUGGAGAGUCUUCUCCCCUCUUCCCCCCUUUUUGGAGCAGAGAUUACUAUUAUCUCAUUAUGGAUAACUGCUUGGAGGUCAGGUGUUAUCAACCAAUUUAAUUGCCACUGUAUUAAUCUUCAAGCUUUUGACCCAAUUUAUAGUAUUUUCUCUCUCCCUCUCUCUCUAAUGAAAUGAGAAUGUAUGUGGAAGGUCUGUGUAAUAUGGAUUUCUUUUUUUUUUUUUUUUUUAGGAAACCAGGUGAAAUAAUUAUUAAAGCUUCACUCUAUUUUUAUGGACGAGAUACUUUGCAAAGACAUAUAUAGUUUUUUGGAGCUUUAUGUCUGUUGAGCUGGAAUUGAAACCUGACGUCUCCUUUGUAAAUACUUUCCUCCCAUUUCCAAGCAUGUAUUUGUUAGAGAUGAACCGAACCUGCUCCGAACCGACUUUAUGUCAAUUUCAGUUUAUAAACAUUGAGUUUUCUUCACAAGUGUACGAGUGUGGAAUUUUUUUUAAUGCUUUUAUGAGGUUGACGUUGGAAACAUUUUAGUCUUUUCUACAGCCAAUGCCACUUUACAUUCAGAAUCUUCUCACACAAUUUGAUUUUAUUUCUUUACAUUUUCUGCAUUUUCACCGUGUGAAACUUUCUAACUUUCUAACGAGCCUCUUUCUGGCAAAACGGGAGCCUAAAAGUUUGAACUUAUACAUUUUGGGGUUUUGUAUUUCCUGACUUGUGCUUUGUUGAAAAUGCGCUGCUCUGUUUCACAUGCUCGCCUAACAGUUUACUGUGAUGUAACGAAAUAUUUUUGAUGCAUAAAAAAAGUUGCAAAUAAAACACAUUGAGUCAUUUUCUUUUA